rnacentral:lncRNA from 1 species
AGUCCACAGCCGGAAACUGAUCCUUUUGGGCGGAGGCGCAGGCGCGCGCGCAUCCGGCGGGUUCGACUCACUUACCAGGAACCCACGCAGGAAGCUGAGGAGGAGAACAGACGCCUCUGGGCCACUGGCCGGGCCACUUGAGCGUGGGACCGCCGAGUGUGACCCUGAGGCCGAGUGCGUGCGGGACUGGGCGAUAGCUCCGCCAGGCAGGAUUUUGUUUGUUUCACCUCUUGAGGUAGUCCCGGCGUGUAGUACAUAAUAGGCGCUUAAUAUGUGUAUUGUAAAGAAUGAGUGCCUGGCCAUUUGUAUUUGCCUUGUGAGCGCGUGUGUGUGGCACUGUGAGGGUUGCGGGACCGACGGAACCUCUCUGGCUCUGGCGGGUUGUGUUUCCGCGUGUGUGUAAUUUGAGUGUGAGUCAGUGUGUAGUGAGUGAAGGGAUCUGACUGGAGAAAACCACAGUAAAUACCCGGGGCUGUGAUUUUUGUGACUUUGGUCAAUGGGACGACAGGCUCUGUGGUAGACUGGCUGUGCUUGACGUAACAAUGUGGUACUAUGCCGUGUGGUUGCCGGCAAGGCUAUGUGAAGAUGAGAAUGUGUGAUUUGGAAAAUCUGGAUGUGGAACAUCACGGGUGCCAGUGGAAUUGUGACUCUGUGUGUGUAUAAAAGUUUGCAACCAUAGGCCUAUAUGUCUGUGGGAUAAAGAGAAUAUGUUGCGUCUUCUUGGAGUAUCAGCUUUAUUUAAACAUUUGCAUCAGAGAGUUGCGAUUUAUGUGCCAAAGAUUUUUGUCUUUUUAUAUUGAAUUAAAUGAAUUUUUUACAAAGAGAAAAAUGAAAAUAAUAGUAACUUUCAAAAAAUAUUAAGAAUUUCCUUCCACUCUUAUAUUCUGGCAAUGGAUCUUUGGCAAUGGGUCUUUGGCAGAUCAAUUUGAAAAGCUUGGACUGAGGAAAUUAUACUUGGAAAGCACAUUAGGCAGUCAGCCCUUGGUUCCUAAAUACCAUGCUCCACUGAAAGGAGCAAGGCUCCAUGGAGAAAUGGCAGAUUCCAGAGCUGGGGAAGGGAAAGUUCAGAAUGAACUUGGAACAUCUUGUGCUUGAAAGUAAGGCAGUGCUCAAAGAAUGGUGGGGACGUGUUCAAAGGACAUGGAAACCAGAUUGAAGGGACUUCCACUGACCAAACUUGACAUGGUUUGAGCAUCAAAAUAAAUAAUGCUAGUUAUAGAUUAAAACCCAUUAAAUAACAGAGGGAAUCAUAAUUCCAAACUGAUAUAAAUUAGUACGUGAAAAAAAAUUGAAAGUUUGAUGAGGGACUGGAUGUUUACAUUGUUGCAAAGAACCCCUGCCCCCCCCCAAAUCCCUUAAAAAUGUGUCAAUAUAAGGCUGGGCACGGUGGCUUAUGCCUAUAAUCCCAGCACUUUGGGAGGCCGAGGUGGGCGGAUCGUGAGGUCAGGAGUUUGAGACCAGCCUGACCAACGUGGUGAAACCCUGUCUCUACUAAAAAAAUACAAAAAUUAGCUGGGUGUGGUGGUGCGUGGUGGGUCCUGUAAUCCCAGCCACUCAGGAGGCUGAGGCAGGAGAAUUGCUUGAACCCAGGAGGCGAAGGUUGCAGUGAGCCUAGAUCGCGCCACUGCACUCCAGCCUGGGUGACAGAGUGAGACUCCAUCUUUAAAAAAAAAAAAAAAAAGUGUCCAUAUGAAAAAAUGCUCAACAUUACUAAUCAUCAGAGAAAUGCAAAUUAAAACCACACUGAGAUACCACCUCACAGUGUUAGAAUAGCUGUAAUCAAAGAGACAAAAGACGACAAGGGUUGGUGAGGGUAUGGAUAUAAGGGAACACUUGUACACUAUUUGUGGAAAUGUAAAUUAGUACAAACAUAGAAAAUAUCCGGAGUUUUCUCAAAUUAAAAAUAUAACCACUAUAUGACCCAGUCAUCCCACUAUAUAUAUCUGUAUAUAUCUGUAUAUAUCCGUAUCAGUCCAUUCUUGCAUUGCUAUAAAGAAAACCCGAGACUCGGUAACUUAUAAGAAAAGAUGUUGAAUUGGCUCACAGUUCUGCAGGCUGUACGGGAAGCAUAGUGGCAUCUGCUUUUGAGCAGGCCUCAGGAAGUUUCCAAUCAUGGUGGAAGGCAAAAUGGGAGCAGGCACAUCACAUGGUGAAAGCAGGAGCAAGAGAGUGAGGAGGGAGAUGGUACACACGUUUAAAUGUCCAGAUCUCAUAAGAACUCACUAUUAUGAGGAUGGAAACAAAGGGCUGCUAAGCCAUUCAUGAGGAAUCUGCGCCCAUGAUCCAAUCACCUCCCACCAGUCCCCACUUCUUAUAUUGGGGAUUACAUUUCAGUAUGAGAUUUGGGUUGGGAUACACAUCUAAACAAUGUCAUUCUGCCUCUGGCCCCUCUCAAAUCUCCUGGCCUUCUCACAUUUCAAAAUACAAUCUUGCCUUCCCAGCAGUCCCCCAGAGUCUUAACUAAUUCCAGCAUUAACUCAAAAGUCCAAAGUCUGAAGUCUCAUCUGAGACAAGGCAAGUUCUUUCCUCCUAUGAGCCUGUAAGAUCAAAAACAAGUUAGUUACUUCCAAGAUAAAAUGGGGGUACAAGCAUUAGAUAGACAUUCCUGUUCCAAAAGGGAGAAAUUGGCUAAAAGAAAGAGGCUACAGGCCCUAUGCAAGAUCAGAACCCAGUAGGGCAAUCAUUACAUCUUAAAGCUCCAGAAUAAUCUUUGAUUCCAUGUCCCAUGUCCAGGGCACACCAAUUUAAGAGGUGGGCUUCCAGCCUUGGGUAUUUCUUCCCCUGUGGCUUUGCCGGGUUCAGGCUCAGAGGCUGCUCUGAUCUACCAUUCUGGGAUCUGGAAGAUGGUGGCCCUCUUCUCAUAGCUCCACUAGUCAGUGCCCCAGUGUGUACUCUGUGUGAGGGUUCCAACCCCACAUUUCCUUUUUGCACUGCUCUAGUAGAGGUUUUCUGUCAAGGCUUAGCCCCUGCAGCAGGCUUCUGCCUGGACACCUUGGCUUUUCCACAUAUCCUCUGAAAUCUAGAUGGAGGCUCCCAAGCCUUAUUCACACUCUGUGCACCUGCAGGCUUAAGACCAUGUGGAAACCACCAAGACUUAUGGCUUGCAACCUUUGGAGCUGCAGUCUGAGCUGUACCUGGGCCCUUUUAAGUCACAGCUGGAGUUGGAGAAGCCAGGAUGCAGGGAGACAUGUCCUGAGGCUGCACAGGUCAAUUCUGGCCCAUGAAACCAUUCUGUCCUCCUAGGCCUCGGGGCUUGUGAUGGGAGGGGCUGCCUCUUAGAUCUCUGAAAUGCCUUAGAGGCCUGUUUCCCAUUUCUUGGCUAUCUGCACUUGCCUCAUUUUUAGUUAGGCAAAUUUCUCUAGCAAAUGGUUGCUCAGAAACUUUCUUGAAUUCUUCUGAAAAUGAACUUUUCUUUUCUACCACAUGGCCAGUGCAAAGUUUCCAAACUUUUACACUCUGCUUACCUUUUACAUAUAAGUUCCAGCUUUAAGUCAUUUCUUUGCUCCCACAUCUUAGCAUAGGUGGUUACAAGCAGCCAGGCCAUAUCUUGAAUGCUUUGUUAUUUAGGCAUUUCUUCUGCCAGAUACCCUAGGUCAUCACUCUCAAGUUCAAACUUCCGUAGAUCCCUAGGGUGUGGACACAAUGCAGCCAAGCUCUUUGCUAAGGCAUAGCAAAAGGGACCUUUUCUCCAGUUCCCAAUAAGUUCCUAAUUUCUAUCUGAGACCUUGGCAGCCUGGACUUCAUUGUCCGUUAUCACUAUCAGCAUUUUAGUCACAACCAUUUAACCAGUCUCUAAGAAGCUCCAAACUUUCCUUCAUCUUCCUAUCUUCUGAGCACUCAACUCUCUUCCAACCUUUGCCUGUUAUCCAAUUCCAAAGCUGCUUCCACAUUUUCAGGCAUCUUUACAGCAAUGCCCAACUUCUCGGUACCAAUUUUCUGUUAGUCCAUUCUCGAAUUGCUAUAAAGAAAUACCUGAGACUAGGCAAUUUCUAAGUAAAGAGGUUUAAUUGGCUCACAGUUCUGCAGGCUGUACAGGAAGUAUAAUGGCACCUGCUUCUGGGGAGGCCUCAGGAAGUUUCCAGUCAUAGUGGAAGGCAGAGGGGGAGUAGGCAUGUCAUAUGUCAAAAGCGGGAGCAAGAGAGUGAGGGGGAGGUGCUAUACACUUUUAAACAACCAGAUCUCAUGAGAACUCACUAUUGGGAGGAUGGUACUAAGAGGGAUGGUGCUAAAUCAUUCAUGAGGACUCCACCCUCAUGAUCCAAUCACCUCCCACCAGGCCCCACCUCCAACAUUGGGGAUUACAUUUCAAUAUGAGAUUUGGGCAGGGACACACAUUUAAACUAUAUCAAUAUCCAAAGGAAAUAAAAUCAAUAUGUUUAAGAGAUAUCUAUGCUCCCAUGUUUAAUGCAGCGCUAUUCACAAUAGUCAAGAUGUGGAAGCAAUCUAAGUGUUCAUCAAAGGAUGAGUGGAGAAAGGAAAUGGCAUAUAUAUAAUGGAAUAGUAUUCAGACUUUAAAAAGGAGGAAAUCAUGUUGUUUGCAACAAGGAUGAACCUGGAGAACAUUAUGUUAAGUGAAGUAAGCCAGGCAUAGAAAGACAAAUACUGUGUAAUCUCACUUAUAUGUGGAAUCUAAAAAAGUUGAACUCAUAGAAGUAGAGCGUAGAAUUGUGGUUACCAGGGCCUGUCAGGGGUGGUGUUGGUUGGAGAGAUGUUGGUCAAAGGAUAUACAGUUUCAAUUAGGAGGAAUUUUUAAAAAGUGUGUGUCGAACUUUGAGUCAGUUCUGAGUGAGACUAGAAUGUCCAUAAGAAACUGGAUGUGAUGGAGGCUCAAUAAUUUAGCAGAAUUAUGACAAAGAGACAGGGGUGAUAAGGUGAAUUAUAUGCCAACAAACUUCUCUCUUGCACCAAGCACUACCUAGGAUAUUCAGAGCCCAUAUGGGAUGUGGUUUGAAUUCUACGA